CCGCGGUAAUACGUAGGUGGCAAGCGUUGUCCGGAUUUAUUGGGCGUAAAGCGCGCGCAGGCGGUCUUUUAAGUCUGAUGUGAAAGCCCCCGGCUUAACCGGGGAGGGUCAUUGGAAACUGGAAGACUGGAGUGCAGAAGAGGAGAGUGGAAUUCCACGUGUAGCGGUGAAAUGCGUAGAUAUGUGGAGGAACACCAGUGGCGAAGGCGACUCUCUGGUCUGUAACUGACGCUGAGGCGCGAAAGCGUGG
rnacentral:rRNA from 1 species